GAGGAGGAGGAAUCUCAGCAUUUGCCCUGCUCUGUCUGCAUGAGGCCAGAGAGCAACCUGACCAGAGUUGACAAGCGGGAAGACAGGUGGCAAGUGACACCCUGCUCCUGUUGUCGUAAUAGUGAAGGAGAACGCUGCAUUUCUGCGGGUGUCAUAGCGACUCCCCCGGGGAGCAAUCAUGCUGCGCCCGAGGCUUAGAGCCUCACAGCGAGGGGCUGGGAGCACCCAAGAGGAGGGACUGACAUGGGAGAGAUGGAGCCAUGCGUGUUGGUGACACUGGACCCGGACUCCGUCCUGGCGACCCGACCUGGGACUCUCAAAGGACUUAAAAACUUCUGCCCACACAAACACCCACGGCCAGAUGUCCAUGGCAGCUUUAUGUGAGACGACUUGAGAGCGAACACAGUCGGGAGAUGAGAGGUUCAGCACUACGAGGACAUCCAGACAAUCGGUGUCACCCGGGCUGAAGGAGAGGCUCAUGUGCACAGCAUGAAGUCAGAGAGGCCAAGAGCCCCAAGAGGCCGUAGGUGGGAUUCCAGCUCAUGACUUCUGGGGAGCUGGGAGUGGGUACAGCAAAGCUGCAAGGGAGGCCAAGGGCUGGGUGGAAGGCAGGGGACCAUGCUAGGGGGUGAUGCAUCAGUGCUGGGCCAAGUCCUUGUCCACACCGCUGUGGCUGGGGGCCCUGAUGUGCACCUGUUGGGGGGACCUCGACAGUGUAGGAGCAUCGUGCAUGGGGACAGGGCUAUGUCCCUUAAGCCCUACUUUCUGCU